GCAAAGCGCUGGCCUGACGAACAGGAAGCGGAUACGAGGCAACGCAUUGGGUGAGACAGCGUAAAAAGUCAAAGCCCGAAAUUUGCCCCGCACGCGCGUCACGGCAGAUGAUGCCGCCGC
rfam:Burkholderia rhizoxinica HKI 454, complete genome